GGCCACAUUACGUAGAUAUAGCUAAUUAUGUUUGAAUCUGUCUAUUGUUUUCAAAGGUAGCUCUGUUGACAGUGGUUCCAGUGGGAGUGACGAGCCAAAUGAGACUGGCAUUGAGUCUAUGAGGCUUUUUGCUUUAUGCACAUGUGAAAUUGUUCCUUGGAUGAGCUGCUGGAUCUGAGAUUUGAAGAACCUGUCACUCAUGCGACGACAACACCACCACAUGGGAAAAAUGAAUGGGGGAAACUAUAAUUUAAAAGAGACUUCAGAUAUGCAACAACUAAUAGUAAGCAUUAUUGGGAAUGGUGUCAUCCUCAUCAGCAAUGGCAAGUCAGCAAAAUGAGCACUUACUAUGUAUAAGCCUGGUCCUAGGCACAACAGAUGGAGAGAGGCAGAGAGGGAGAGACAGAAAGAGGGACAGCAAACUCUUCUUUUGAGGAUUUUACAAGGUACUUGAGGAUAAGGACAUAGAUUCUUCCCCCUGUAUGCCACUGAAACUCUUACAACCACCGUCAUAAGUGACCUCCUGAUUGCCAAUCCCAGCAAACACUUCCCACUGCCCUCCUGACACGGUAGACACGACCUUCCAUUUGAGCAUCCUCCCUUGAACCUCCAAGACAGCACUCUGCCUUGGCUCCCCUGCCACUCCUCACACGACAUCUUGAGAUAAUCGCUUCCUCCAUCUCUUUCGUAAAUGUAGCUGCUGUUUCUCAGAGUUCCACUUUUGGUUUUCUUCCCACUCCUCAGUUUUUUUUCUCACAAUUUCUUCUUAUCCCAGAGCACAUGAUUCUACAUUUUAACAUGCUUCCCAGGUGUGCUGAUUCCCAAGCAGUUUUGAGAAUCUCUGGACUUCUUCAUCCGUCUGGUUCUUAGCAUGUCCAUCUAUAAAAUGGGGAUAAUAAUGGUACUUGCCUCAUUGGACUGUUGUUAGGAUUAAGUGGGUUUACAUACGUAAAGCUCUUAGAACAGUGCCUGGCAUGUAGUCAGAUUCAUAUAGAUAUCGGUUGUUAAUUUUAGGCUGAGGCCUAACAGGAACUAAGUUUUCAAAGGAACAUUGAGGCCUUUUGCAGACGGAUAGUUUUUCCCUCAAAUCUAGUCCCCACUUCUUCCAGAAUCCCCAUGUGGCCACCCAACAUCCCUUGUAACUAGGUGUGGCCAUGUAAUUAGGUUCUGACAAACACAGGCUAAGUGGAAAUGUCCUGUGGCAAUUUCUGGAAACUUCUCUACCAGCCAACCAGCUUGUGUCCUUUGUCCUUUCUUUUUUCUGCCAUUCUGCUGCCUGGAACUUGAGGUGACGGC
rnacentral:lncRNA from 1 species